AAGUCGUAACAAGGUUUCCGUAUGUGAACCUGCGGAAGGAUCAUUAACACGUUCCAUAACCUAAUCAACCAACCUGUGAACUUGUAUUUGCUGAAUGGAGUCUGUUUAAUGGCUUAACAAACCAUUAUCGGAUUCAUUCGGCCCAAUCCAUAAUUUCUAUGGAGCUAUUCAUUAUUGGGCAUAAAACACCUAGUUUUGAAUUAGUUUCUUCAUAGUCAUUAUUUAUCCACGCCCUAGUACUCUACUCCCUUUUUUCUUCGGAAUUGGUUAUAGAGCACUAUUUUAUAGAUUCAAUAUCUAUUUUGCUCAUCUAAUAGAAUGUGUCGAUCCGUGUGUAUUUUAUACAUGCCCGACUGCUAUAGAUGUAUCAAGUAUAUUAUUAUAAUAAGAGAACAACUCUUAGCAAUGGAUAUCUUGGUUCUC
rnacentral:misc_RNA from 1 species